rnacentral:rRNA from 1 species
GUAGGUGGCAAGCGUUGUCCGGAAUUAUUGGGCGUAAAGCGCGCGCAGGCGGUUCUUUAAGUCUGAUGUGAAAGCCCACGGGCUCAACCGUGGAGGGUCAUUGGAAACUGGAGAACUUGAGUACAGAAGAGGAAAGCGGAAUUCCACGUGUAGCGGUGAAAUGCGUAGAGAUGUGGAGGAACACCAGUGGCGAAGGCGGCUUUCUGGUCUGUAACUGACGCUGAGGCGCGAAAGCGUGGGGAGCAAACAGGAUUAGAUACCCUGGUAGUCCACGCCGUAAACGUUGAGUGCUAAGUGUUAGGGGGUUUCCGCCCCUUAGUGCUGCAGCUAACGCAUUAAGCACUCCGCCUGGGGAGUACGGCCGCAAAGGCUG